CGGUGGAGCAUGUGGUUUAAUUCGAAGCAACGCGAAGAACCUUACCAGGUCUUGACAUCCCUGACAACCCGAGAGAUCGGGCGUUCCCCUUCGGGGGACAGGGUGACAGGUGGUGCAUGGUUGUCGUCAGCUCGUGUCGUGAGAUGUUGGGUUAAGUCCCGCAACGAGCGCAACCCUCGACCUUAGUUGCCAGCAUUCAGUUGGGCACUCUAAGGUGACUGCCGGCUAAAAGUCGGAGGAAGGUGGGGAUGACGUCAAAUCAUCAUGCCCCUUAUGACCUGGGCUACACACGUGCUACAAUGGGCGGUACAAAGGGUCGCGAACCCGCGAGGGGGAGCCAAUCCCAAAAAGCCGCUCUCAGUUCGGAUUGCAGGCUGCAACUCGCCUGCAUGAAGCCGGAAUCGCUAGUAAUCGCGGAUCAGCAUGCCGCGGUGAAUACGUUCCCGGGCCUU
rnacentral:rRNA from 1 species